UCAGCCCCCGAGCCCCCACCCGUGGCCGUCCCCAUGUCGUGAGUGGGAGGGUCCGGGCAGGCUCGCUGCUGUCCUUGGCCGCGAUGCUGGCCCGGCCCCGGCAUUGCAGCAAUGCCUGGGGGAGGCCUUGGCCUCGGUGGGAUCUGUGGGAUGCCGGCCUCACCCCUCCUCCUCCGGAGCCUCCCGGCCUCCGCAGACCAAACUGGAAACAAACGAGGCUUCAGGCCGCGUGGAGCUGGGUGUUUCACCAACUUGCGCAAAGCGAGCGGCCGAAUUACUUGGGCUGCAGCCACCCCUGCCCAGUGUCACCACUGCCCCCUGAGCCCGUCCCACUCGUCACACCGAUGGGCUGCUCUGGGAGCUGGCAUCCCGGGAGGGUUUCCUCUGCUGCUGCCUGGGCAAACUGAGACAUCCUCUGAGCAUCCCCAUGUCCGUGAGCAUCCUGCAUCCCUGAGCGUCUCCGUAUCCCGCAGCAUCCCACGUCCCUACGCCAGCAGGUCCCAGGCACGGGGCCGAGGGCGCAGCAGGAGCCCCGCAGGGGAGGAGUGCUGCAGAGGGUGACGGCAACGUAGCACCUACUCUAAUGGGAUCCUCUCCACAAGUAAUUAAGCCUCGGCUAAUGCUAACCGUAAUGUGAUGUAUGUAUGCCUUUAACUAAUCAUUUAUUAGCCUCGUUGAUGGUUUGUCAAUAUUAAUUCAUUUAUUUAAACAACUCCGAGCUGUAAUGAAGAUGUUUGCUUUAAGGGGGAAAAAAAGAGAUGGAGCUGCCAGGAGAUUUUUUGUUGACUCGAUGGAUGUCGCUCUGCCCUGGGUGAUGAGCGGCGUCCCUGCCCUCAAAGCCUGGCCCCUCGCUGCCAGCAGUGUCCCCAACCUGGUGGCAGCCCCUGGAGCAUCCCGAGGGGCUGCUGUAGGGCUGUAGGGACCCCCCCUCACAGCACCUCUGGGCUGGCUAGGAUGGGGCCACCCGAAGCAGCUGAGCGCUGUGACCGGAACAACUUUGUUUCGAAGAAUUUCCAUCAGUUUGACCUUAAAAUGUUCUAGCCGUACUUAGACGCCUGAAGUCAGACCCAAAUGUGCUGCACGACCAGGAACAAUUGGUUUCUGCUGACUUUCGACUUGCUAAUGAUUUCAAAUUGGUUUUCAUUUCAAAUCAAAUUACUUCUAUUUAAUAUUUUUUUUGAGGUGGGGGAAAGGGAAAUUGACAAGAAACUUAAAAAAUGUAUUUUUUAUUCCAUUUGAUAGCCCACCUUGGGCUGGAUUUGCUCUUCCUUCUGCAGCCCUUGGGUGCCAAGGCCAGCAGGGUGCUCUCCAGGGGAGCAUCCCCAGGGCAGCAGGGUCCUGUGCCGGGGCUGUGCCAAGCAGCUCCCGCAGCACGGGCUUUGGUGCUGGCCCUGGAUGUUGCAGCAGCUGCUUUCAGCUCUCCUCCUCAGCUUCUUAAUAUCAGCUAGAUCACAGUAUUAAAGUUAACUUUCUCUUAAA